AACAAAAGAUUUAUUUUUUCGAGUCGCCGUAAAGUACCUAAGAUUGUUUAGCAGUACUAUGGGGAUCCACAAGGCCAUCUUUGGCCUGGUGCUAACCCUGCUCGUCGCCGGGCAGCUCAUCGCUGGAGUCGCAGCUGGGCGAUUCCCUAGUCAGGUGAUGCCGACUGUGGUCAGUUCGGAUCCAACGCUUCAGGAGCAUUCAAGGAGUACCCUUCGCCAUGGAGGCAGCAGCGCUGAAGGCCUUGCGAACGAGAAGACCCUCUUCGCCGCACGGGGUUAUUUCCAUCCACCAAACCUUCCACCUUGCCGCCGCAGUGCAUGCUGAACAGGACGGAGGAAUCCAGAUCGGUCGCCGCUUCCAGCCAUCAGGCUCAGUGGUUCUUCCGGUUUAAUUUAUAAUACCAUGGUGUUCCAUCCAUCGCAGAGAUUCUCUUAUGUUGGUCUACGACGCCUACAUUCCAUCUUGUAUUUCCAGUAUUACUGGAAUUCCUUGAAUAAUGAAGAGUGUCUUAAUAAUAUUUAGCAGAA